GUAGACAGAUAUAUCAUGUUCAAAUCACCAGUUCUCGUCUGAUCACCAAAGUUAAGCAACAUCGAGCCUAGUGAGUACAUAGGUGACCACUUGGGAAACCUAGAUGCUGUAAGCG
rnacentral:rRNA from 1 species